CGCAAUGGGCGAAAGUCUGACGGAGCGACGCCGCGUGAUUGAUGAAGCUUUUCGGAGUGUAAAGAUCUUUUAUGAGGGAAGAAGUUUAUUGACGGUACCUCAUGAAUAAGGGGCUCCUAAUCUCGUGCCAGCAGGAGCGGUAAUACGAGAGCCCCGAGCGUUAUCCGGAAUUAUUGGGCGUAAAGGGUGCGUAGGUGGCGUUGUUAGUCGUUUGUCAAAUCUCUGGGCUUAACCUAGAAUCCGCGAACGAAACGGCAACGCUUGAGAGUGUGAGGGGUAUAGGGAACUCAUGGUGUAGGGGUGAAAUCCGUUGAUAUCAUGGGGAACACCAAAAGCGAAAGCACUAUACUGGCACAUAUCUGACACUCAAGCACGAAAGCGU
rnacentral:rRNA from 1 species